AGGCUCACCAAGGCGACGAUCCGUAGCUGGUCUGAGAGGACGACCGGCCACAUUGGGACUGAGAUACGGCCCAGACUCCUACGGGAGGCAGCAGUGGGGAAUAUUACACAAUGGGCGGAAGCCUGAUGCAGCAACGCCGCGUGCGGGAUGACGGCCUUCGGGUUGUAAACCGCUUUCGCCUGUGACGAAGCGUGAGUGACGGUAAUGGGUAAAGAAGCACCGGCUAACUACGUGCCAGCAGCCGCGGUGAUACGUAGGGUGCGGGCGUUGUCCGGAUUUAUUGGGCGUAAAGGGCUCGUAGGUGGUUGAUCGCGUCGGAAGUGUAAUCUUGGGGCUUAACCCUGAGCGUGCUUUCGAUACGGGUUGACUUGAGGAAGGUAGGGGAGCAUGGAAUUCCUGGUGGAGCGGUGGAAUGCGCAGAUAUCAGGAGGAACACCAGUGGCGAAGGCGGUUCUCUGGGCCUUUCCUGACGCUGAGGAGCGAAAGCGUGGGGAGCGAACAGGCUUAGAUACCCUGGUAGUCCACGCUGUAAACGGUGGGUACUAGGUGUGGGGUCCAUUCCACGGGUUCCGUGCCGUAGCUAACGCUUUAAGUACCCCGCCUGGGGAGUACGGCCGCAAGGCUAAAACUCAAAGGAAUUGACGGGGCCCCGCACAAGCGGCGGAGCAUGCGGAUUAAUUCGAUGCAACGCGUAGAACCUUACCUGGGUUUGACAUGGAUCGGGAGCGCUCAGAGAUGGGUGUGCCUCUUUUGGGGUCGGUUCACAGGUGGUGCAUGGCUGUCGUCAGCUCGUGUCGUGAGAUGUUGGGUUAAGUCCCGCAACGAGCGCAACCCUUGUUCACUGUUGCCAGCACGUUAUGGUGGGGACUCAGUGGAGACCGCCGGGGUCAACUCGGAGGAAGGUGGGGAUGACGUCAAGUCAUCAUGCCCCUUAUGUCCAGGGCUUCACGCAUGCUACAAUGGCUGGUACAGAGAGUGGCGAGCCUGUGAGGGUGAGCGAAUCUCGGAAAGCCGGUCUCAGUUCGGAUUGGGGUCUGCAACUCGACCUCAUGAAGUCGGAGUCGCUAGUAAUCGCAGAUCAGCAACGCUGCGGUGAAUACGUUCCCGGGGCUUGUACACACCACCCGUCAAGUCAUGAAAGUUGGUAACACCCGAAGCCGGUGGCCUAACCGUUGUGGGGGAGCCGUCGAAGGUGGGACUGGUGAUUAGGACUAAGUCGUAACAAGGUAACC
rnacentral:rRNA from 1 species